GCUAGAUUAGGUUCUAGAAAAAUUGUAGAAUAUUAUCCCCACAUCAGCAUUAUAUAUGAUUUUACUGCCAUAUCUCCAUUGGUGUUGAGUGGUAUUCUUCAAAAAGAAGGAAAUCAUUAGUCAUCUAAUAGGUGAAAAUUAUAUUUUCAUUUCUAUUAUAGUGUGUGUUGAGUAAUUUUUUGCAUCCUUUUGCCAAAUAUAUUCUGUGAAUUCCUGUUCAUGACACUUGUGAAUUUUGCAGUGGCAUUUUGGUGUUUCAUUAUGGACUUUUAAAGGAUUCUUUAUCUAUACUUUGUCUUACUUGAGUAUGCUAUUCCAAAGUCAUCUUUAUUAAGUGAUUAUUUUUAUCCUAUAAUCAUCUUUCAUUAAAUGUGGAAAGCAAAUGAAACAAUUUGGAGAAAACAAAGGGGAUGAGAAUUAUGCUGAUGGAGCAAAAUGAUUAAAAAUCAUAUUUGAGAGAGAGGGAAGCUGACAAAGAUAUUGAAAAAGACAUACUUUACAGAUUCAUGAGGAGACCUAUUCAAAAGCUAAGAAAUAACAUUCUAAUUAGAUAUGGAGUAUGAGAAGUUUCUUUGGAGUGUUCCAUCUUCUGUAAUGGAAACACAUUUAAACUUUUAUUGAAUACCUGUCACGUGGGUGCCAGCAGGAGUGAAGCCAGGAAGUGAAAACCAAGUAUGGUCUACUCUGCUUAAUCUAAUGAGGGAGCAUAAAUAACUAAAAAAAUCACUGAAAAGAGGAAAAAGUGCUUAGGAGAAAAAGAAAGCAGCAUGUGUGGACCUCAGAAAGUUACAAUCACCAUUGAUGAGAAUCAGGAAAAGUUUCAUGGAAGAAUUGACUUUCUGUUUGGUCAUGGAGAUUAAGUAGGAUUUUUCUAGGUGGAGAAUCAGAAAAGGACUUUCAAGAGGGGAUGUGCAAAAAUGCACAGAGAGGUCACAUGAGGCUGGAGGUUCUAACCCAAAGCAUGCACUCAGACUCCAUGCCUUUACUCUUCCAGUAAAUACUAGCAAUCUUCUACUCAAAUGUAUUCUAGUACUGAUAGGAAUAACAAGACUGUGCCUAGUAAACUUUGUUCUAAACAAACAAAAUAGAUUGAACUUAUUUUAAUUGAUUAAAGAAAAAUUUAACUCUCAAGAGUUAAAAAAAAAUAAUGACCAUGGAAAAAUAGAGUUGGUAAUUUACCAACACAAUAAAACAGACAAUGGCAAAAACUAAAUAAAUUACAUUUGUGGUCUUAGGUUGGGCUCCCCUGAGAAGAGCAUGAGAGUAAAAGUCUGAAGUUACUUCAGGAAGCAUCCGUAGGAGAGGGGAAGGCAAGGGAAUGAAGUCAAUGAAGGCUGUAUCAUCAAGCAGUUCACCACUGGGAACAACUCAGUUCAAGUCUCCCCCAGGGGAACUGUAGACAGUGUACACAUACUUGACAUUCCUCAGAGUCCUACCAGCAGGACGAGGAAGUGAGGAAGCCAGGUGUUUCUCCUCCCAACUGCCACU
rnacentral:lncRNA from 1 species